GGAUUAGAUACCCUGGUAGUCCACGCUGUAAACGCUGAGAACUAGACGUUGGGCAGGUGACUGCUCGGUGUCGGAGCUAACGCAUUAAGUUCUCCGCCUGGGGAGUACGGCCGCAAGGUUGAAACUCAAAGGAAUUGACGGGGGCCCGCACAAGCGGUGGAGCAUGUGGUUUAAUUCGAUGCAACGCGAAGAACCUUACCUGCCCUUGACAUCCUCGGAACCCUGCCGAGAGGUAGGGGUGCCUUCGGGAACCGAGAGACAGGUGCUGCAUGGCUGUCGUCAGCUCGUGCCG
rnacentral:rRNA from 1 species